rnacentral:rRNA from 1 species
GGAAACGACUGCUAAUACCGCAUAAGCCCACGGGGUCGGCAUCGACCAGAAGGGGAAAAAGGAGCAAAUCCGCUUUUGAGAUGGCCUCGCGUCCGAUUAGCUAGUUGGUGAGGUAAUGGCCCACCAAGGCGACGAUCGGUAGCCGGACUGAGAGGUUGAACGGGCCACAUUGGGACUGAGACACGGCCCAGACUCCUACGGGAGACAGCAGUGGGGAGUAUUGCACAAUGGGGGAAACCCUGAUGCAGCGACGCCGCGUGGAGGAAGAAGGUCUUCGGAUUGUAAACUCCUGUUGUUGAGGAAGAUAAUGACGGUACUCAACAAGGAAGUGACGGCUAACUACGUG